GCGAGAACGAGACCCGAAGGAAACAAGUAUCGGUGAAGAGGUAGUACAAGGGAAGAUGGGUAUUGGAAGUGGAGGAUUUGUGUGUGGAAUCUCAAACCCAACAUCACACCAGAUCUGCAGCACCUCUCGUAUCGUCAUCCUUUGAACGUGGAAGGAGAGAGGCUUUGUCUGUUUGAUUUCUGGGCAAACAUUUCAAGUUGCAUCGUGACCAGGAGUGAGUGUUCCACAGCACUAACAGCGGAAAGAUCGUUAACCCUACAUGACCAGAAAAAACACUGCAUUAUUGACAGCAAGAAGAAACCAAAAUUAUUUUUGGGGUGUAUGUGUGCUUUUGAUGAUCUGGAAGAAAUUACAUAAAUUUUCUUAAGCUCUGAUGAUGAAGAAGGCAGAUAUUUCCCAGAUAAGGAUAAAGACGAAGCUGUUCACCUGCGCCAGAUGUGGGAAAGGAUUCACUCAGUCAUCUGACCUGGUGAUGCACCAGCUGAUUCAUUGCUGAGAAUUUGUUCACCUGCUCAGAGUAUGGGAAGGGAUUCACUUGGUUAUCUAACCUGGUGACACAUUAGCAAGUUCACACUGUGGAGUGACCAUUCAUCUGCUGCUUGUGUGGCAAGAAACCUGGGCCUCUGUACCUCCCUCUGCAACUCGAUCCUCAAUUUCCUUAUCGGCAGGCCUCAAUCAGUGAGGAUCCUCCUUGCUGAUCAUCAGCACAGGUGCACCUCAAGGCUGCGUGCUUAGCCCUCUGCUCUACUCUCCAUACACACACACGACUGUGUGGCUAAGCACAGCUCCAAUGCCAUAUUACAAAUUCGCCACUGUUGUGGGACGGAUCACAGGCAGUAAUGAGUCAGCUUACCGGAGUGAGGUAGGACACCUGGUUGACUGGUGCCGCAACAACCUCUCAUUCAACAUCAGUAAAACUAAAGAGUUGAUUGUGGACUUCAGGAAGGGGAAGGAGGGCAAACAUGCGCCAGUCUACAUUGGGGGAUCAGCAGUGGAGAGAGUCAGCAGCUUUAAAUUCCUGGGCGUUAACAUAUCAGAUGAUUUGUCCCGGCCCAGCACAAAGAUGCGAUCACAAGGAAGAUGCACUGGCAUCUUUACUUUCUUAGAAGGUUAGGCAGAUUCGGCUUGUCACCAAACACUCUGAGAAACUUCUACAGAUAUAUUGAUGAAAGUGUCCUGACUGGUUACAUCAUGGUCUGGUACGGCAAUUCGAAUGCACAGGAACGUAAGAAGCUGCAGAGAGUAGUGGACUCGGCCCAAUACAUCACGGGCACAUCCUUCCCCACCAUCGGGAGUAUCUACAGGAGGCGCUGCCUCAAGAAGGCAAUGUCCAUCAUCAAAGAUCCCCAGCAUCUGGGCCGUGCCAUCUUCUCGCAGCUACCAUCGGGCUGGAGCCCUGAAGCCCCACACCACCAGGUUCAGGAACAGCUACUUCCCUUCAACCAUUUGUUUCUUGAACUAACCAGCAAAACCCUAAUCACUAUCAAAGUAUAACAACACCAGGACCACUUUGCAAUAAAAUGGACUUUUUUUUUGUUCUAAUUGUGGUCUUUCUUGUAUAAUUUUAUGUAAUUUAUGUUUAAUUUAUGUUUUUCUUGUAAAUGCUGUGUAUCUGAUGCCAUGUGCCUGUGAUGCUGCAAGUAAGUUUCUCAAUGCACCUGUGCACAUGUGUACUUGUGCAGAUGAUAAUAAACUCGACUUUGACUUCUGA